GCCGGGGUGGAGCAGUCUGGUAGCUCAUCGGGCUCAACUCUUCAUAAACCCGGCGAAGGUCGUUGGUUCAAAUCCAGCCCCCGCUACCA
rnacentral:tRNA from 1 species